rnacentral:rRNA from 1 species
CCUACGGGAGGCAGCAGUGGGGAAUCUUCCACAAUGGACGAAAGUCUGAUGGAGCAACGCCGCGUGAGUGAAGAAGGGUUUCGGCUCGUAAAACUCUGUUGUUAAAGAAGAACAUAUAUGAGAGUAACUGUUCAGGUAUUGACGGUAUUUAACCAGAAAGCCACGGCUAACUACGUGCCAGCAGCCGCGGUAAUA